GAUGAACGCUGGCGGUCUGCUUAACACAUGCAAGUCGAACGGACUCUUCGGAGUUAGUGGCGGACGGGUGAGUAACGCGUGAGAAUCUGCCUCUAGGACGGGGACAACAGAGGGAAACUUCUGCUAAUCCCGGAUGAGCCGGAAGGUCAAAGAUUUAUCGCCUAGAGAUGAGCUCGCGUCUGAUUAGCUAGUUGGUAGGGGUAAAAGCUUACCAAGGCAACGAUCAGUAGCUGGUCUGAGAGGAUGAUCAGCCACACUGGGACUGAGACACGGCCCAGACUCCUACGGGAGGCAGCAGUGGGGAAUUUUCCGCAAUGGGCGCAAGCCUGACGGAGCAAGACCGCGUGGGGAGGAAAGCCUUUGGUGUAAACCCCUUUUCUCAGGGAGAAGCAAGUGACGGUACCUGAGGAAUC
rnacentral:rRNA from 1 species